GACGAACGCUGGCGGCGUGCUUAACACAUGCAAGUGGAGCGACGAACCGGGGCUUGCCCCGGGGCAGAGCCGCGAACGGGUGAGUAACACGUGGGUAACCUGCCUCAAUGAUUGGGACAACCCGGGGAAACUCGGGCUAAUACCAAAUGUGUUCACUCCUUCUAAGGGGAGUGAGGAAAGGAAGCUUCGGCCUCCGCAUUGAGAUGGGCCCGCGGCCCAUUAGCUUGUUGGUGAGGUAACGGCUCACCAAGGCUUCGAUGGGUAGCUGGUCUGAGAGGACGAUCAGCCACACUGGGACUGAGACACGGCCCAGACUCCUACGGAGGCAGCAGUGGGAAUCUUGCACAAUGCGCGAAAGCGUGAUGCAGCAACGCCGCGU
rnacentral:rRNA from 1 species